rnacentral:rRNA from 1 species
GAUGAACGCUGGCGGCGUGCCUAAUACAUGCAAGUCGAGCGAACAGACGAGGAGCUUGCUCCCCUGACGUUAGCGGCGGACGGGUGAGUAACACGUGGAUAACAUACCUAUAAGACUGGGAUAACUACGGGAAACCGGAGCUAAUACCGGAUAAUAUAUUGAACCGGAUGGUUCAAUAGUGAAAGACGGUUUUGCUGUCACUUAUAGAUGGAUCAGCGCCGCAUUAGCUAGUUGGUAAGGUCACGGCUUACCAAGGCUACGAUGCGUAGCCGACCUGAGAGCGAGGACCGACAGACGGGCAGUGAGAAUGGUUAGAGACUCCGAGGGGGGGACGCGGCAGAGAAUCUUACGGAAGGCACGAGUGCCGAAUAGUGGAAAGCCGGCUGAGUGAUGAAGGUCUAAGGAUCGUAAAGCGAUGUUAGUAUGGAAGAACAAAAGCGUAUUUAACUAUGCUCGUCUUGACAGUACCGGGUCAAAAAGCCACGGCUAACUACGUG